rnacentral:rRNA from 1 species
GGAAGGUGGGGAUGACGUCAAAUCAUCAUGCCCCUUAUGAUCUGGGCUACACACGUGCUACAAUGGUCGGUACAACGGGCAGCGAAAGAGUAAUCUGGAGCGAAUCCUAAAAAGCCGAUCCCAGUUCGGAUUGUGGGCUGAAACUCGCCCACAUGAAGUUGGAGUUGCUAGUAAUCGCGAAUCAGAAUGUCGCGGUGAAUGCGUUCCCGGGUCUU